UGGGCGUAAGCGUGCGCAGGCGGUUCGGAAAGAAGGAUGUGAAAUCCCAGGGCUCAACCUUGGAACUGCAUUCUUAACUACCGAACUAGAGUAUGUCAGAGGGGGGUAGAAUUCCGCGUGUAGCAGUGAAAUGCGUAGAUAUGCGGAGGAAUACCGAUGGCGAAGGCAGCCCCCUGGGAUAAUACUGACGCUCAUGCACGAAAGCGUGGGUAGCAAACAGGAUUAGAUACCCUGGUAGUCCACGCCCUAAACGAUGUCAACUAGCUGUUGGGCCCUUCGGGGCUUAGUAGCGUAGCUAACGCGUGAAGUUGACCGCCUGGGGAGUACGGUCGCAAGAUUAAAACUCAAAGGAAUUGACGGGGACCCGCACAAGCGGUGGAUGAUGUGGAUUAAUUCGAUGCAACGCGAAAAACCUUACCUACCCUUGACAUGUCUGGAAUCCUUUAGAGAUAGAGGAGUGCUCGCAAGAGAACCGGAACACAGGUGCUGCAUGGCUGUCGUCAGCUCGUGUCGUGAGAUGUUGGGUUAAGUCCCGCAACGAGCGCAACCCUUGUCAUUAGUUGCCAGCAUUCAGUUGGGCACUCUAAUGAGACUGCCGGUGACAAACCGGAGGAAGGUGGGGAUGACGUCAAGUCCUCAUGGCCCCUUAUGGGUAGGGCUUCACACGUCAUACAAUGGUCGGGACAGAGGGUUGCCAAACCGCGAGGUGGAGCCAAUCUCAGAAACCCGAUCGUAGUCCGGAUUGCAGGCUGCAACUCGCCUGCAUGAAGUCGGAAUCGCUAGUAAUCGCGGAUCAGCAUGUCGCGGUGAAUACGUUCCCGGGUCUUGUACACACCGCCCGUCACACCAUGGGAGUGGGUUUUACCAGAAGUAGUUAGCCUAACCGCAAGGGGGGCGAUUACCACGGUAGGAUUCAUGACUGGGGUGAAGUCGUAACAAGGUAACCGA
rnacentral:rRNA from 1 species